rnacentral:rRNA from 1 species
UACGAAGGGGCAAGCGUUGUUCGGAAUUACUGGGCGUAAAGGGCGCGCAGGCGGCCGAUCAAGUCAGAUGUGAAAGCCCCGGGCUCAACCUGGGAAUAGCAUUUGGGACUGGUCGGCUAGAGUUCGGGAGAGGAGAGUGGAAUUCCCGAGUGUAGAGGUGAAAUUCGUAGAUAUUGGGAAGAACACCGGUGGCGAAGGCGGCUCUCUGGACCGAUACUGACGCUGAGGCGCGAAAGCGUGGGGAGCAAACA